GUAGCUUUGAAAAAACGCACGCGUUUUGCGGCUUCAAAAACAAUUCUUCGAGAAAUUGGUGGGGUCCGACUAUAAAAGCCGCAGCCUUCGACUGAGAGGGCACUAGUUCGAUUUUUGCGGGGCCUGCAACGCUUCGUGUAGCCUGUUCCUCCUUCGAACUAGUCAUCCCGACUUCACAGCAGAGAAAUGUCAUCAUCCUACGAGGACAUCACGCGCGCCAUGCUUUGGCCGAACGCGGUUGCCGCCGCGUCGCUCAUUCCGCACGGCGGCCAGGGUACAGUCUGUGAGAGUCCGCGCGGCUGCACAGACUCCCUGGACUUCCUGCAGUUCGCGGCCGACGGCAACCUGGCCAAGGGCAGACGUGCAGGGCGGCGCUUGAGCGUGCUGGCGCUUUGUCCGGCGCUGUGCGCCUUCAAACGAGCACGACAUUGAACACGUCGCUUCCUCAGAUGGUGCAAAUCAGCCCUGCUUCAGCUCGUGAAAGACUGAAGUUACCGAGAAAGAGUUAGAAGACCAGAUUGAAGAGCCAAAUCGUAAUUAACCUCUCGGCUGAACGGACCGAGACUGAGAUGAAGAUAUUGUACCAAUAAUUAAGAUUGCUUUUCGUCGUGUGUGGUUUUGCAUUCGUUCUCGCACAGCAGGAAAUAAUAAU